rnacentral:rRNA from 1 species
GACGAACGCUGGCGGCGUGCUUAACACAUGCAAGUCGAACGGAAAGGCCCCCACCUUGGUGGGGGUGCUCGAGUGGCGAACGGGUGAGUAACACGUGGGUGAUCUGCCCUGUACUUCGGGAUAAGCUUGGGAAACUGGGUCUAAUACCGGAUAGGACCAUGGUUUAGUGUCUCAUGGUGGAAAAAUUAUUGUUUUGGUGCAGGAUGGGUUCGCGGCCUAUCAGCUUGUUGGUGGGGUAAUGGCCUACCAAGGCGUCGACGGGUAGCCGGCCUGAGAGGGUGGACGGCCACAUUGGGACUGAGAUACGGCCCAGACUCCUACGGGAGGCAGCAGUGGGGAAUAUUGCACAAUGGGCGCAAGCCUGAUGCAGCGACGCCGCGUGGGGGAUGACGGCCUUCGGGUUGUAAACUCCUUUCGUUAGGGACGAAGCCACACCUUUUUUGGGUGUGGUGACGGUACCUUUGUUAAGAAGCACCGGCUAACUACGU